GAAAUCACUGCGACGCCGAGAAUAGUCUGCAAUGCCGCCAGACAUCGAGCUAAUCGUCGAUGGUAGAUCAAAGGAGGUGGCCUCGUCACCAUCCCUCCUUACAAGGUAUCUCAACCGGUUGAUGAAUGAUUGAACGUCCUUGCCAUAUCGAAGAAAUCGCCAGGAAACUCGCCUACUACCAUCAUUUACACUGCAAGAUCGAGUAUUUCCCACUGGAAUAUUGAAUAGAAAAUGCGAGCGAUCGCCUACCACCAUAGCAUUUUGCAGACAUAUCGAACGGGGACUAACUUGAAAACUAAUUCUAU